GACGAACGCUGGCGGCGUGCCUAAUACAUGCAAGUCGAGCGGACGAAUCGAAAGCUUGCUUUUGAUUCGUUAGCGGCGGACGGGUGAGUAACACGUGGGCAACCUGCCCUGUAGACGGGGAUAACACCGAGAAAUCGGUGCUAAUACCGGAUAACACGAAAUGUCGCAUGACGUUUCGUUGAAAGACGGUGCAAGCUGUCGCUACAGGAUGGGCCCGCGGCGCAUUAGCUAGUUGGUGAGGUAACGGCUCACCAAGGCGACGAUGCGUAGCCGACCUGAGAGGGUGAUCGGCCACACUGGGACUGAGACACGGCCCAGACUCCUACGGGAGGCAGCAGUAAGGAAUCUUCCGCAAUGGACGAAAGUCUGACGGAGCAACGCCGCGUGAGCGAAGAAGGCCUUCGGGUCGUAAAGCUCUGUUGUUAGGGAAGAACAAGUAACGCAGUAACUGGCGUUACCGUGACGGUACCUAACGAGAAAGCCACGGCUAACUACGUG
rnacentral:rRNA from 1 species